UACGUAGGGGGCGAGCGUUGUCCGGAGUUACUGGGCGUAAAGCGCACGCAGGCGGUCUGCUAAGUUUGGAGUGACAGUUGGUGGCUUAACUGCCAAAGUGCUUCGAAAACUGACAGACUUGAGGGCUUCAGAGGGACACGGAAUUCCGGGUGGAGUGGUGAAAUGCGCAGAUAUCAGGAGGAACACCGGUGGCGAAGGCGGGUCUCUGGGCCGAUACUGACGCUGAGGAGCGAAAGCGUGGGGAGCGAACAGG
rnacentral:rRNA from 1 species